rnacentral:misc_RNA from 1 species
AAAGUCGUAACAAGGUUUCCGUAGGUGAACCUGCGGAAGGAUCAUUACUGCUUGCUUAUGGCCGCCCUGGUGGGGAAACCCCUGGGACGGUACGGCAACACACCCUUGACUAUAUAUACCUAUCGUUAUUUCCCUCGGUGGGGCAACCUGCCGCUGGGGACACAAUAAACCCUUUUGUAUAAGCAUUAAAAUUUCUGAAACAAAACUAAAAUUUUACAACUUUCAACAAUGGAUCUCUUGGUUCUG